CGGAGCUUGCUCCACCGGAAAAAGAAGAGUGGCGAACGGGUGAGUAACACGUGGGUAACCUGCCCAUCAGAAGGGGAUAACACUUGGAAACAGGUGCUAAUACCGUAUAACAAUCGAAACCGCAUGGUUUUGAUUUGAAAGGCGCUUUCGGGUGUCGCUGAUGGAUGGACCCGCGGUGCAUUAGCUAGUUGGUGAGGUAACGGCUCACCAAGGCCACGAUGCAUAGCCGACCUGAGAGGGUGAUCGGCCACAUUGGGACUGAGACACGGCCCAAACUCCUACGGGAGGCAGCAGUAGGGAAUCUUCGGCAAUGGACGAAAGUCUGACCGAGCAACGCCGCGUGAGUGAAGAAGGUUUUCGGAUCGUAAAACUCUGUUGUUAGAGAAGAACAAGGAUGAGAGUAACUGUUCAUCCCUUGACGGUAUCUAACCAGAAAGCCACGGCUAACUACGUGCCAGCAGCCGCGGUAAUACGUAGGUGGCAAGCGUUGUCCGGAUUUAUUGGGCGUAAAGCGAGCGCAGGCGGUUUCUUAAGUCUGAUGUGAAAGCCCCCGGCUCAACCGGGGAGGGUCAUUGGAAACUGGGAGACUUGAGUGCAGAAGAGGAGAGUGGAAUUCCAUGUGUAGCGGUGAAAUGCGUAGAUAUAUGGAGGAACACCAGUGGCGAAGGCGGCUCUCUGGUCUGUAACUGACGCUGAGGCUCGAAAGCGUGGGGAGCAAACAGGAUUAGAUACCCUGGUAGUCCACGCCGUAAACGAUGAGUGCUAAGUGUUGGAGGGUUUCCGCCCUUCAGUGCUGCAGCUAACGCAUUAAGCACUCCGCCUGGGGAGUACGACCGCAAGGUUGAAACUCAAAGGAAUUGACGGGGGCCCGCACAAGCGGUGGAGCAUGUGGUUUAAUUCGAAGCAACGCGAAGAACCUUACCAGGUCUUGACAUCCUUUGACCACUCUAGAGAUAGAGCUUCCCCUUCGGGGGCAAAGUGACAGGUGGUGCAUGGUUGUCGUCAGCUCGUGUCGUGAGAUGUUGGGUUAAGUCCCGCAACGAGCGCAACCCUUAUUGUUAGUUGCCAUCAUUUAGUUGGGCACUCUAGCAAGACUGCCGGUGACAAACCGGAGGAAGGUGGGGAUGACGUCAAAUCAUCAUGCCCCUUAUGACCUGGGCUACACACGUGCUACAAUGGGAAGUACAACGAGUCGCGAAGUCGCGAGGCUAAGCUAAUCUCUUAAAGCUUCUCUCAGUUCGGAUUGUAGGCUGCAACUCGCCUACAUGAAGCCGGAAUCGCUAGUAAUCGCGGAUCAGCACGCCGCGGUGAAUACGUUCCCGGGCCUUGUACACACCGCCCGUCACACCACGAGAGUU
rnacentral:rRNA from 1 species